rnacentral:rRNA from 1 species
AGCGAACGCUGGCGGCAGGCUUAACACAUGCAAGUCGAGCGGGCAUCCUUGUGGUGUCAGCGGCAGACGGGUGAGUAACGCGUGGGAACGUGCCCUUCGGUUCGGAAUAACUCUGGGAAACUUGAGCUAAUACCGGAUACGCCCUUUUGGGGAAAGGUUUACUGCCGAAGGAUCGGCCCGCCUCUGAUUAGCUCGUUGGUGAGGUUAUGGCUCACCAAGGCGACGAUCAGUAGCUGGUCUGAGAGGAUGAUCAGCCACACUGGGACUGAGACACGGCCCAGACUCCUACGGGAGGAAGCAGUGGGGAAUAUUGGAAAAUGGGGGCAACCCUGAACCAGCCAUGCCGCGUGAGUGAUGACGGCCUUAGGGUUGUAAAGCUCUUUUCUCCGGGACGAUAAUGACGGUACCGGAGGAAUAAGCCCCGGCUAACUUCGUG